rnacentral:lncRNA from 1 species
GUAGGCAGUGCCUGCAUCACUGCAGACAUCCAGAAGGGGCCCAGGCUUCUGCAGGAAAGAACGCUUUCCCCAGCAGGGAACCCUGGUCCCUGCUUCCCUGCUCAGGAGGGCGUCCCGGAGAGAUCAGCUUUUUAAAAACUAACUGGAACGAUUCACGAAACCUCUAAACCAAGCCUGUUUAGAUUCUAAACCAGUUAGCAUUUCAGAGGACAGACUCUGGCCCAAUACCCAUGCUCUGGAGCAGAGACCUUCUCCCACCCAUAGCGACACAUCUUCGGCAGCAGCCGAUAGAUGUCAACAUUUGAUUUAGGGGAAAAUUAACAUUUUCUUUCAGGACAGAGAUGUUUGUACUGUUGAAGCCAAUAUUUUCCUUUCUCAGUCUCCUGUAUUAGAAAUUCUAAAAUCUUCUCUAGGACCUCAAAAGGGGAGAAAAUAAAUAGCCUAAAUCAUUGCUCAGGGUGCUAGGACACACCACAGUCAGGUCUGUGUGCCUCUGUGUGUGUGUGCGUGUGUGUGUGUGUGUGUGUGUGUGUGUGUGUGUNNNNNNNNNNNNNNNNNNNNNNNNNUGUGUGCCUGUGUGUGUGUGUUCUGGCCUCACUGUCACGAGAUUAGGAAGACACACACCAGAGAGUUGGAAGGGGGCAUAUGUUGGACCCUUCCCAAAUGAGAGGAAUUCACAGCAUCUGCCCACCAGCCACGAGAAAGGAGCUCCAGUAAGGGGCAACCAACCAGGCUCGCUUCUGUGUUCAUCACAAUUUUCAGGAGAGGCCACGGGACAAGGGAUUGCUAAGGGGAUGGGAAAAGUUUCUGUGUUCAGUGCAUAGGGCUGAGUGUGUGCCUUCAUGCUCCAAGAAGGCUACAUGGCUUCCGUCUCUCCCCUUUGCCAACCUGUAUUUGGUUUUCACACUUCAAAGCUAAAGCAAGCUGUGCUGCCUCAGUUGAAAUAAGACAGCCAGGCAACCCUGAAGCUAGCAAGAUGGAGAGUUUGCUCCUGCCACUUGCAGAGAGAGACAGAGCCCCCCAGUCAGCGCUGCCAGCCCAUCCUUUACAACAGACUGCAUGCGAGCGAGCCCAGCAUUUUAGGGAAGGGGAGAUCCUUGAUGUCCUUUCUGACCUUUUCCCUACAAGGCACAUCCUCAGAUGUUUUGUGGCAAGGAGCCAUCAUGACUCAAUCAACAUGAAAAAUGAACCUGGAGGGAAAGGAACAGGGUGGGCCUCUCCCAGCGGGCAACUGGGCAAUUGCCCUGUGACCUGCUUGGCCUGGGGGCAGGGGAGUGUCACCUGCAUUUUUUCAUUCGUUCAGGAAGCUGCGGUAGCCCAGACCCCAGGAAAUCCAGCCUUGUCGCCUGUUGGCUAUUUGUCCUGCCUGCCAGGAAUCAGAGGACUGUCUUGCCCUAAUGUGAAGACACAUUUGCUAGGACGCCAUGUGAUCCUAGAGCAUCCGCAAGAGGAAGAACUAAUUUACAAAAUCAACGCAACAACCAGUCCUGCGAUGGAGGAUUCUUUUCUGUCUAGAUUGCCAAAAUAG